rnacentral:rRNA from 1 species
UUAGAGUUCGUUCCUGGCUCAGGAUGAACGCUAGCGGCAGGCUUAACACAUGCAAGUCGAGGGGCAGCGGGUGUAGCAAUACAUGCCGGCGACCGGCGCAAGGGUGCGUAACGCGUGAGCAAUCUGCCCGUAUCAGGGGGAUAAGCGAUGGAAACGUCGUCUAAUACCGCAUAACACCAAUGAUGGCAUCAUCGAUGGUUGAAAGCUUCGGUGGAUACGGAUGAGCUCGCGAGACAUUAGUUAGUUGGCGGGGUAACGGCCCACCAAGACCGCGAUGUCUAGGGGAACUGAGAGGUUGGUCCCCCACACUGGAACUGAGACACGGUCCAGACUCCUACGGGAGGCAGCAGUGAGGAAUAUUGGACAAUGGCCGGAAGGCUGAUCCAGCCAUGCCGCGUGAAGGAAUAAGGUCCUAUGGAUUGUAAACUUCUUUUGUACGAGAGCAAUAAGUGUCACGAGUGACACGAUGAGAGUAUCGUACGAAUAAGCAUCGGCUAACUCCGUGCCAGCAGCCGCGGUAAUACGGAGGAUGCGAGCGUUAUCCGGAUUUAUUGGGUUUAAAGGGUGCGUAGGCGGGAUUUUAAGUCAGCGGUGAAACGCAAGGGCUCAACCCUUGACCUGCCGUCGAAACUGGUGUUCUUGAAUGCGGAUGCUGUGGGAGGAAUGUGUGGUGUAGCGGUGAAAUGCAUAGAUAUCACACAGAACACCGAUUGCGAAGGCAUCUCACAAAUCCGUGAUUGACGCUGAGGCACGAAAGUGUGGGGAUCAAAAAGGAUUAGAUACCCUGGUAGUCCACACUGUAAACCCCUCAAAAGUCGCUGUCGGCGAUACACAGUCGGGGGCCAAGGGAAAGCGAUAAGUUAUCCCCCGGGGGAGGACGACCGCAAGGUGGAAACUCAAAGGAAUUGAGGGGGGCCGGCACAAGCGGAGGAACAUGUGGUUUAAUUCGAUGAUACGCGAGGGAACCUUACCGGGGCUCGAACGGCAAGUGAACGACACAGAGAUGUGAAGGUCCUUCGGGACACUUGUCGAGGUGCUGCAUGGUUGUCGUCAGCUCGUGCCGUGAGGUGUCGGCUUAAGUGCCAUAACGAGCGCAACCCUUGCCAUUAGUUACCAGCAUGUAAUGAUGGGGACUCUAGUGGGACUGCCACCGUAAGGUGUGAGGAGGGGGGGGAUGACGUCAAAUCAGCACGGCCCUUACGUCCGGGGCGACACACGUGUUACAAUGGUGGGUACAGAGGGCAGCUACCUGGUGACAGGAUGCAAAUCUCGAAAACCCAUCUCAGUUCGGAUCGGAGUCUGCAACUCGACUCCGUGAAGUUGGAUUCGCUAGUAAUCGCGCAUCAGCCAUGGCGCGGUGAAUACGUUCCCGGGCCUUGUACACACCGCCCGUCA